rnacentral:rRNA from 1 species
CAGCACGUUAUGGUGGGCACUCUAAGGAGACUGCCGGUGACAAACCGGAGGAAGGUGGGGAUGACGUCAAGUCAUCAUGGCCCUUACGGCCUGGGCUACACACGUGCUACAAUGGUCGGUACAGAGGGUUGCCAAGCCGCGAGGUGGAGCUAAUCCCACAAAACCGAUCGUAGUCCGGAUCGCAGUCUGCAACUCGACUGCGUGAAGUCGGAAUCGCUAGUAAUCGCGAAUCAGAAUGUCGCGGUGAAUACGUUCCCGGGCCUUGUACACACCGCCCGUCACACCAUGGGAGUGGGUUGCACCAGAAGUAGCUA